rnacentral:rRNA from 1 species
UAAGGAAUAUUGGUCAAUGGGCGGAAGCCUGAACCAGCCAUCCCGCGUGCAGGAUGACUGCCCUAUGGGUUGUAAACUGCUUUUAUCUGGGAAUAAACCACUCUAUUAAUGGGGUGUUGAAGGUACCAGAAGAAUAAGCACCGGCUAACUCCGUGCCAGCAGCCGCGGUAAUACGGAGGGUGCAAGCGUUAUCCGGAAUCACUGGGUUUAAAGGGUGCGUAGGCGGCUUUAUAAGUCAGAGGUGAAAGGCUACAGCUUAACUGUGGAAUUGCCUUUGAUACUGUGAAGCUUGAAUAAGGAUGAGGUUGGCGGAAUGUGGCAUGUAGCGGUGAAAUGCAUAGAUAUGCCAUAGAACACCAAUUGCGAAGGCAGCUGACUGGACCUUUAUUGACGCUGAGGC